GUAGGUGGCAAGCGUUGUCCGGAAUUAUUGGGCGUAAAGCGCGCGCAGGCGGGUUCUUUAAGUCUGAUGUGAAAGCCCACGGGCUCAACCGUGGAGGGUCAUUGGAAACUGGAGAACUUGAGUACAGAAGAGGAAAGCGGAAUUCCACGUGUAGCGGUGAAAUGCGUAGAGAUGUGGAGGAACGACCAGUGGCGAAGGCGGCUUUCUGGUCUGUAACUGACGCUGAGGCGCGAAAGCGUGGGGAGCAAACGGGAUUAGAUACCCUGGUAGUCCACGCCGUAAACGAUGAGUGCUAAGUGUUAGGGGGUUUCCGCCCCUUAGUGCUGCAGCUAACGCAUUAAGCACUCCGCCUGGGGAGUACGGCCGCAAGGCUG
rnacentral:rRNA from 1 species